rnacentral:misc_RNA from 1 species
GGAGCUUUGAAUUUGCUCAUGCAGGAGUUUUGGACCCUUCUCUAAACCAAUAUGCAUUUUGCGCAACAAGGAGUGAUGAUGAAGAAGAUGAAUAUGGUGUUUACCAGUUAGAUUCCCAGGGCCAUUUUCCCCAGGUUAAUGACUACUACAGUCAGAUUCAGUAUGAUGAGAUCAAAAAGGACUAUGGAUCACAUAAAGAGCACCCUGAUGGAGAAGCUAUUGAUGAAAAAAGUGUGAGCAGCUCUUCCUUACACAAUAGCUUUGA